UAGCUCUAUUGGUAAAGUACUUGCCUUGAAAGCAUGAGGACCUGAAUUCAAAUCUCAG
rnacentral:tRNA from 1 species